AAUAGAUUUAAAACAACAACAACAACAAUCUUAUGUUGUCACCAUGUUUUCUUUAGACAUAGUAGGCAGAAUAAUGGUUUUCUGAAAAUAUCCAUCCCGUAAUUGAACACAGCCUACAUCACACAGAAUGGGGACUUUGCAUAGGUGAUCAGCUUGAGAUUUGUCCAUGUAAUCACGAGGAUCCCUGUAGGAGAGAGGCCGGAGGUUCGGAGACAGUGACGGAGAGGUGACAACUGAAGCAGAAGUCAUCAGGAAGCAGGGACACCAGCCAGGGAAUGAAGGCAGCCUCCAGAAGCUGGGAAAGCCAAGAAAAAAAGGUCUCCCCUAGACCUUUCGACUUCCAGGGCUGUAAGAUGAUAAAUGUGUGCUGUUUAAGCACAAAAUUUAUGGUAAUUUAUUACAGUGGCGAUAGAAAACUAAUGCAAAUCUUCCCUUCCCGUCUCUUUGCUCUGCCAGGGAAGUCAUUAAUAAUUAUUAAACGCAGACGUCUCUGUGGCUUUUCACCCUGGUUCCAAAGUUGCCCAAAUGAAAGGCAGCUCCAGGGCAAGUCAGGCUUUCCUCUGAGAGCAUUUGCCUCUGAAUUAUGACUGGUUCUGAUAGUAAAACAGCAGUCUCUUUCUCAGGCCUAGGCACGUCCAUUCUCCAUCCUUUCACCACAUCUUAGGGAAUCUGGCUGUCUGCAGAAUGCAUCUCCACAUUCUGUGGAGACUCCCAAAGUGAAGUCAGACAGACCAUGUUAAAUACACUCCACAAAAUUUGUUGAAACUACUCAAUCCAGCAAAUAGAAAUAUCA
rnacentral:lncRNA from 1 species